CAUGUAGGCGGUUGUUUAAGUCUGAUGUGAAAGCCCUGGGCUCAACCCAGGAAGUGCAUUGGAUACUGGCAACUUGAGUACGGGAGAGGAAAGUGGAAUUUCGAGUGUAGGGGUGAAAUCCGUAGAUAUUCGAAGGAACACCAGUGGCGAAGGCGGCUUUCUGGACCGAUACUGACGCUGAGAUGCGAAAGCGUGGGGAGCAAACA
rnacentral:rRNA from 1 species